AGAGUUUGAUCCUGGCUCAGGAUUAACGCUGGCGGCAUGCCUAAUACAUGCAAGUCGAACGAAAAAUAUAUAGAUGCUUGCAUUUAGAUAUUUUUAGUGGCGAACGGGUGAGUAAUAUAUAGAUAACCUACCUUUAAGUUGGGGAUAACAGAGGGAAACUUUUGCUAAUACCGAAUAAAAUAAUUAGACGCAUGUUUAAUUAUUAAAAGGGGCUUCAAAGCCCCGCUCUAAGAGGGGUCUAUAUCGCAUUAGCUAGUUGGUAAGAUAACAGCCUACCAAGGCUAUGAUGCGUAGCUGUACUGAGAGGUAGAACAGCCACAUUGGGACUGAGAUACGGCCCAAACUCCUACGGGAGGCAGCAGUAGGGAAUUUUCGGCAAUGGGGGGAACCCUGACCGAGCAAUGCCGCGUGAUUGAAGAAGAUCUUCGGAUCGUAAAGAUCUGUUAUUAGGGAAGAAUGGAAUUGAUAGGAAAUGAUCAAUUUAUGACGGUGCCUAAUGAGGAAGCCCCGGCUAACUAUGUGCCAGCAGCCGCGGUAAUACAUAGGGGGCGAGCGUUAUCCGGAAUUAUUGGGCGUAAAGGGUACGUAGGCGGGCCUGCAAGUCUGAUUUGAAAGCACACGGCUUAACCGUGUGAGGUAAUUAGAAACUACAGGUCUAGAGAGUGGUAGAGGUAAAUGGAAUUCCAAGUGGAGCGGUGAAAUGCGUAGAGAUUUGGAGGAACACCAGUGGCGAAGGCGGUUUACUGGGCCACAUCUGACGCUGAUGUACGAAAGCGUGGGGAGCAAACAGGAUUAGAUACCCUGGUAGUCCACGCCGUAA
rnacentral:rRNA from 1 species